AUUGAACGCUGGCGGCAGGCUUAACACAUGCAAGUCGAGCGGGGUGAUGGUGCUUGCACUAUCACUUAGCGGCGGACGGGUGAGUAAUGCUUAGGAAUCUGCCUAUUAGUGGGGGACAACAUCUCGAAAGGGAUGCUAAUACCGCAUACGUCCUACGGGAGAAAGCAGGGGAUCACUUGUGACCUUGCGCUAAUAGAUGAGCCUAAGUCGGAUUAGCUAGUUGGUGGGGUAAAGGCCUACCAAGGCGACGAUCUGUAGCGGGUCUGAGAGGAUGAUCCGCCACACUGGGACUGAGACACGGCCCAGACUCCUACGGGAGGCAGCAGUGGGGAAUAUUGGACAAUGGGGGGGACCCUGAUCCAGCCAGGCCGCGUGUGUGAAGAAGGCCUUAUGGCUGUAAAGCACUUUAAGCGAGGAGGAGGCUCUCUUGGUUAAUACCCAGAAUGAGUGGACGUUACUCGCAGAAUAAGCACCGGCUAGCUCUGUGCCAGCCGCCGCCGUAA
rnacentral:rRNA from 1 species